UACGUAGGGGGCAAGCGUUGUCCGGAUUUAUUGGGCGUAAAGAGCGUGUAGGCGGCUAGAUAGGUCCGUUGUGAAAACUCGAGGCUCAACCUCGAGACGUCGAUGGAAACCAUCUGGCUAGAGUCCGGAAGAGGAGAGUGGAAUUCCUGGUGUAGUGGUGAAAUGCGUAGAGAUCGGCAGGAACACCCAGGGGGAAACCAGCGGACUGGGCAUCAGCUGACGCUCAGGUGCGACAGCGUGGGGAGCGAACCGG
rnacentral:rRNA from 1 species